rnacentral:rRNA from 1 species
GUAGGGUCCGAGCGUUGUCCGGAAUUAUUGGGCGUAAAGGGCUCGUAGGCGGUUUGUUACGUCGGGUGUGAAAACUCAGGGCUCAACCCUGAGCGUGCUUCCGAUACGGGCAGACUAGAGGUAUGCAGGGGAGAACGGAAUUCCUGGUGUAGCGGUGGAAUGCGCAGAUAUCAGGAGGAACACCGGUGGCGAAGGCGGUUCUCUGGGCAUUACCUGACGCUGAGGUGCGAAAGCAUGGGGAGCGAACAGGAUUAGAUACCCUGGUAGUCCAUGCCGUAAACGUUGGGCGCUAGGUGUGGGGACCUUCCCCGGUCUCCGUGCCGCAGCUAACGCAUUAAGCGCCCCGCCUGGGGAGUACGGCCGCAAGGCUA